UACGGAGGGUGCAAGCGUUAUCCGGAUUUAUUGGGUUUAAAGGGUGCGCAGGUUGUUUGAUAAGUCAGUGGUGAAAGUCUGUCGCUUAACGGUAGGAUUGCCAUUGAUACUGUUGGACUUGAAUAUGGAUGAGGUAGGCGGAAUGUGUAGUGUAGCGGUGAAAUGCGUAGAUAUCGGGAGGAACACCGGUGGCGAAGGCAGGUCUCUGGGCCACUACUGACGCUGAGAAGCGAAAGCAUGGGGAGCGAACAGGAUUAGAUACCCG
rnacentral:rRNA from 1 species